AUUCAUCACAUUUUCAUACAAUUUCUUACACACUUGACACACUUCAGCACUAAUAAACCCUAGAAUUUAUCCUAUAAAUGCUAAAAGAAGUCAGAAGAAAAGAGGCAACAAUCACAAGAAAAUUCAGCACAUAAACAGUUCCCAAAACAUACAAAAAAACACCUUUCCUUAAACCUUCUUUCACCAAAAAAAAAAACUACAAACCUUAAUAUUUAUCAUAAAUAUCACUAAUUUCAUCACCACCUUCAACAAAAUAUUCAUUGUUCAUACACUAACAACCCUCACCUUCCUUCAAAACAUUAGCCACCUUCCUUCUCCAUCAACACUAACCAAAUGAUAAGACUCCACUCCAAACUAUCACUAUUAAAACAGAACUCACCACCACAAAUCAACAAACCUUCUUCAACCUUACAUUACUUCACUAACACAAACAUACAACAACAAUAUUUCCAUUGGUUUUGAAAAAAGAAACAUAAUAGAAAAUAAAAGCAAAAAAAGAGAUGAAGAAGAAGUGAAAUCAAAGCACGUCUUCCACUGUCACUCGCCGAAAACACAUCCUAUUCGAUAUCGUCGGAGCUCCGCCGUUCAAACCACCGCGUCACCCUCCUAUGUUCGUCUGAUCGACGUUGUUACACUACUCAGCCGUCGGAAUCGCUCGAGAGCCUCCUCCGCCGCUCAUAAAAUUCACAACGCCGCCCUCCGCCCGUCAUCCUCGUUGCCGCAACACCCAUCGUACUCGUUACCCUUCUCCUUACUUUUUUCGUUUGGAUUUUUCUUUGUUGUGUUUCUUUCUUUUAGUAUUAUUCAUUUUCGUUAUUUCAAGCAUACUCCCCUGUAACCGCCGACCUGGCUUUCUUCUUCGUCUUCUUUAAAUUUCUCUGCAACCGAUUUUAUUGAGUAUCAGAAAAGAAAAGAUUAUCUCGCAUUUACCGACGACACAUCCUUCCGCCACACCUCUUCUGUAUCGAAUCGCCCUUUGUGGUUCUUCUGAUGCCAGAAUAAUAGUUAAGAAAGUUGUUGAAACGGUAAAAGCACCAGCAGCAUUGGGACCAUAUUCUCCAGCAAACAAAGUCAAUAGCCUUCUCUUUAUAUCUGGAGUGUUUUGCCUUGUUCCCGAGAUAAUAAAUAGGACAAGAGUAAUCAAUGUAAAAUAGACAUUCAAUCCAUAAAUAUUACAAUUUAUCAAGCAAACAUGGAUUAUGGUGGAGAUAUUAAUGAUGUACAAAUGAACAACGGUAAUGAUGUGCUUGAUAAAGAAGGAAAAAGGAAAAGAGGACUUGGAUGGUUACAAAACUAUUGGUGAAAUCUCAGAUGAUGUACAAAAAUGAUGUGAAUAGAAGCAAAAAUAAUGUUACAAUAUGGCAAAUAUGCUGGAAUACUCUUUUGUACGUAAAUUUUGAGUGAAUUAUAGAUACUGAGUUGUGUGAGUGGAGGAGGAUAAUAGGAGUGGUGGUGAACAGUUAUUGAGUGGUUAAGUUACUAUAUGGAAAAUGCUUAAUGAGGUGAACGUGUUCACCGAAUUUCACGAAAAAUGCUGGUAUGAUUAAAUUGUUCACUAUAAAUGUUGAAUGCUAGGUCUUUAUGUAUAAGUUUUAA